CCAAAAAUCUAGUCCUACUUUAACACUAUUUAUCUUUUUUUAUUAAAAAUAAACUAAAACAUUCUCACAGUAUAGUAAAGGCGAUUAAAAAAUUAUUAGGAACCAUAUUAAUAGUACCGCAAGGGAAAGAUGAAAUAAAAAUGAAAAAAAUAUAAAGCAAGAAAAAGUAGAGAUUUUUACUCGUACCUUUUGCAUCAUGAUUUAACUAGUCAAACCAAGCAAAACGAAUUUAAGUUUGGCCCCCCGAAACCAAAUGAGCUACUUCAAGGCAGCUAAAAGAGCAAACCCGUCUCUGUUGCAAAAGAGUGGGGAGACCUUCAAGUAGAGGUGACAGACCUAACGAAUUUGGUGAUAGCUGGUUACUUAAGAAAAGGAUUUUAGUCCCGCCUAAAAUUAUAACAGUCAUUUAAAACAAAACAUUAAUUUUAGAGUAAUUCAAUCAAGGUACAGCCUGUUUGAAAUAGAAUACAAUCUAUAUAUAAGGGUAAUUAAAUUUGUUUAUAAUUAAGUAGGCCUAAAAGCAGCCAUCUUUUAAAAAGCGUCAAAGCUCAAUUAUACUGUAAUAAAAAAAUUUCUUAAAAAUUAAAGAACCCUAACACACUAUUAAGUAAUCUUAUAUUUUAUUAGACCUAUUAUGUUAAAAUUAGUAACAAGAACAAGAACUUCUCUUCAAUGUAAAUGUAAAUCAGAAAGGACCUUCCACUGAUACUUAACACGUAUGAAUAAAAAAUAGUAACGCAACAAGAAAAUCCUAUUAAUUUUCAUGUUAAACUAACACAAGAACAUUAAAAGAAAGAUUUAAAAGAAAAGAAGGAACUCGGCAAAUUUUAAUCUCGCCUGUUUACCAAAAACAUCGCCUCUUGAUGAAUUAUAAGAGGUCUAGCCUGCCCAGUGACUUUGUUCAACGGCCGCGGUAUCCUAACCGUGCGAAGGUAGCGUAAUCACUUGUUCUUUAAAUGAGGACUAGUAUGAAAGGCGUCACGAGGAUUGUACUGUCUCCUUUUCUUAAUCAGUGAAAUUAAUCUCCCUGUGAAGAAACAGGGAUAUAAAUAUAAGACGAGAAGACCCUAUGGAGCUUUAAACUUAACAACACUUGUCCUACAUUAUUUAUUUUUCAGAGAGUUCUAAAUUAUUUUGACAUUAUGAUUUUUAGUUUUAGGUUGGGGUGACCGCGGAGAAAAAAGUAUCCUCCGCAUUGAAAAGAGAAUUUCUUUAACUAAAAGCUACCACUUUAAGUAUCAAUAAAUUGACAUUUUUGACCCAAUAUUUUGAUCAACGAACCAAGUUACCCUAGGGAUAACAGCGCAAUCCACUUUAAGAGCUCAUAUCGACAAGUGGGUUUACGACCUCGAUGUUGGAUCAGGGUAUCCCAGUGGCGCAGUCGCUACUAAAGGUUCGUUUGUU
rnacentral:rRNA from 1 species